CCUACGGGUGGCUGCAGUGGGGAAUAUUGGACAAUGGGGGCAACCCUGAUCCAGCCAUGCCGCGUGUGUGAAGAAGGCCCUCGGGUUGUAAAGCACUUUCAGUGAGGAAGAACGCCUGGUGGUUAAUACCCAUCAGGAAAGACAUCACUCACAGAAGAAGCACCGGCUAACUCCGUGCCAGUAGCCGCGGUAAUACGGAGGGUGCGAGCGUUAAUCGGAAUUACUGGGCGUAAAGCGCGCGUAGGUGGCUUGAUAAGCCGGUUGUGAAAGCCCCGGGCUCAACCUGGGAACGGCAUCCGGAACUGUCAAGCUAGAGUGCAGGAGAGGAAGGUAGAAUUCCCGGUGUAGCGGUGAAAUGCGUAGAGAUCGGGAGGAAUACCAGUGGCGAAGGCGGCCUUCUGGACUGACACUGACACUGAGGUGCGAAAGCGUGGGUAGCAAACAGGAUUAGAUACCCGGGUAGUC
rnacentral:rRNA from 1 species